UGGUCAGAGAUCUUCUUACUCUUCGAUCUGUGUGAUCUUCAUGGAUUUGAUUGAAUAAUUGAUUUUACUCUGUUUGGAUUAGGGUUUUGAUGGAGCUCACUUUUGAAAGUUAUUAUUAUUUUUUUUUUUUUAUCUCUGUGUUCAGUGCUGCUACAAACUCAGAGACGGGAGAGGAAGUAGCUAUCAAGAAGAUCGGUAACGCUUUUGACAACAUCAUCGACGCCAAGAGAACCUUGAGAGAGAUUAAGCUCCUCAAGCACAUGGAUCACGAGAAUGUAUAUAUAUCAUCUUUUGAAUCUCUUCUUGUUAUAGAUAGCUAUAUAUAUUGGUUUUCCAUCCUUUUUUUUUUUUUAAUGCGCAGGUUAUUGCUGUGAAGGAUAUAAUAAGACCACCCCUGAGAGAGAACUUCAACGAUGUUUACAUUGUUUAUGAGCUCAUGGACACUGAUCUCCACCAGAUUAUACGCUCUAACCAACCCUUAACUGAUGAUCAUUGUCGGGUAUGUAUCCAUCAUCAAUCACCAUGUGUCCCUUUUUAUGUUAGAAGAUGAAGACAUAUUAUUGCUUGUGCUUAUAAGGUAGAUUUAUUCACUUCGUUUGUUCACUUCAUUGUUUAUUUGACAGUUUCAUAACUAGUUUCCGUGUUGUAGUUAUUCAUAUAUGUUCUUGUGUUGGGGUAUAUGAGGAAGCUAAGGUUGGUCAAAGUAACAGUUCGAUUUGAAUUAGUAUUGCUUGAUACUUAUAAGGUAGAUUUAUCUACAACAGCCACUUUUAUGUUUGUUCACUUUCAUCUGAUUGUUUGCCUUUCAGGAACUAAGCUCCUUGUUUAUCUCAUUAGUUUUAUGUUUUGUUUGCAGUUCUUCUUGUAUCAGUUGUUGCGUGGGCUCAAGUACGUUCAUUCAGCCAAUGUGUUACACCGAGAUUUAAAGCCCAGCAAUUUGCUCCUGAACGCAAACUGUGAUCUAAAGCUUGGGGAUUUCGGGCUUGCGAGGACCAAAUCCGAGACUGACUUCAUGACUGAGUACGUUGUUACUCGCUGGUACCGAGCUCCAGAGUUACUUCUUAACUGCUCCGAGUACACAGCAGCGAUCGAUAUCUGGUCCGUCGGUUGUAUUCUCGGUGAAACAAUGACAAGAGAGCCCUUGUUUCCGGGUAAAGAUUAUGUUCAUCAGCUUAGGCUUAUCACUGAGGUAAUCUUUACUUGUCUUAUCCAUAGAAUCACUUUUCUUUUGGUAUUAUCUGCAUUUGUUGAUGAAUCUCUGUGAAAGCACAGCUUAUAGGAUCACCUGAUGAUUCAAGCUUGGGGUUCUUAAGGAGCGACAACGCAAGGAGAUACGUUAAACAGCUUCCACAGUACCCGAGACAGAACUUUGCUGCUAGGUUCCCAAACAUGUCAGCUGGCGCAGCCGAUUUGCUUGAGAAAAUGCUCGUCUUUGAUCCAAGCAGACGCAUCACUGGUGAGUUUCGUAUAUCUCAGUUUUGUGAUUGCGUUUUAAUCUUCUAAACAUUGGUUUGUAUGUCCUGUUGUAGUUGAUGAGGCGUUGUGCCACCCAUAUUUGGCGCCGCUGCACGAUAUAAACGAGGAACCGGUGUGUGUGAGGCCGUUCAAUUUCGAUUUUGAGCAACCUUCUUUGACAGAAGAGAACAUCAAGGAGCUUAUAUAUCGUGAAACAGUCAAGUUCAAUCCUCAGUAAGGGAGAGUUAUAAGAAAGAAACUCCAUCAAAAUGCUUGUAUUUGUCUUGCUUUGUUUUUGUUAUUGAAUCUCUGAUAAUAUUUGUUUAUGUCUGUAAUAUUAAUAACAUCCUGAGAAAUUAAAACCCAAAAAAAAUGAACAACCUCUGAGCUGUGUUUGCAGAAACAUCCAUAUGCUUUCGAGUUCAAUGUACAUUGUAUUAUUCGUUUGCUUUGUUCGUACAAAAGUAGAAGCCAGAAAAGUGGGGCUUAAACUCAACCCUAAUCAAAACUGUUGCUGCCUGCUGAUCUCUAGGUAAGCUCAAGUUACCUGAAUGAGGGUGAUAGAGCUGCAUCUAUCUCCUUUCACAGGUUUCUUGUGCUUUAGAAGCUGGUUGACAGAGCAUGUAGGAGGCUAACCAUUGAUUCUACUUGCUGCUCUGUUCAGGUUGUUCGUAGAGUGCAUUUAAAGUUUCAUUCAUUAAGAGGCUGAAGAGUCCAUCCUCGACCUGCACAGCCACCUCUUCACGCUCCUCCUUCAUCCGUUUCUCGUUCCAGUCCAGUCUUUCAAUUUCUCUAGCACAUGCUUGUCUCCUCUGCUCACCUGUUCCGCAUUCAAGCUCUGAUAUUCUCUGUCCACUUAACCAUCCUUUUGCCUCUCCCACCAGUUGCUCCUCAAAGUGUUGAUGAUGAGUUUCGUUUGUUCUCUGCAUCAAUUCAUCUCUGAAAUAGUCCAUUAUCAGAUGUUCUUCGUGGAUCCAAAUGUCAUCUCUUUCUUUGACUCGUUCCCAUAGCUCAGCUGCCUUCUCUUCAACCUCAUCAAUGUCAUCUUCAUCUUCUUCAAUCUCUGUGUCACAACUUUCAUCCUUGCAAGAUUCCUCACCCCAUUCUUCUAAAUUGAAAGGACUAAUGUUGGCCAAAUUCUCAAACCGUUGAAUCGUUUCCAUGAGCUUUUGUUUGGUUCCUGCCAAAAAAUAAUUACACACAGUGUGUUUUAAAACUUGAAAGUCCUAAAAUAACUAUAAGAAACGAACUUGCUUUGAUUGAAAUGAGGAAAAGUAAACGCACUUUCAACGUUAUCAAGGCAUUGACUGAAAGAAGAGUUUGAUGCUUCGUCAUCUUCCCCAAGUUGUAUCUCAAGAACGGAGACUGGACUGUUCUGCUCCUCUUCACACUGUAAGUCCUGGUCAUGAUCAUUGCAUAUUAGGCAAAAUCAUCCAACUAUUUGGCGGCGGCGGUGGUGAUCAGAGCACGAAAGGAUUGGCUACUCACGGUGGUCAGUACGUUCAGUACAAUGUCUACGGAAACAUCUUCGAAGUGACUAGAAAGUACGUUCCUCCUCUUCGCCCCAUCGGCAGAGGCGCUUACGGCAUCGUCUGGUCAGAGAUCUUCUUACUCUUCGAUCUGUGUGAUCUUCAUGGAUUUGAUUGAAUAAUUGAUUUUACUCUGUUUGGAUUAGGGUUUUGAUGGAGCUCACUUUUGAAAGUUAUUAUUAUUUUUUUUUUUUUAUCUCUGUGUUCAGUGCUGCUACAAACUCAGAGACGGGAGAGGAAGUAGCUAUCAAGAAGAUCGGUAACGCUUUUGACAACAUCAUCGACGCCAAGAGAACCUUGAGAGAGAUUAAGCUCCUCAAGCACAUGGAUCACGAGAAUGUAUAUAUAUCAUCUUUUGAAUCUCUUCUUGUUAUAGAUAGCUAUAUAUAUUGGUUUUCCAUCCUUUUUUUUUUUUUAAUGCGCAGGUUAUUGCUGUGAAGG
rnacentral:lncRNA from 1 species